rnacentral:rRNA from 1 species
UACGUAGGGGGCAAGCGUUGUCCGGAUUUACUGGGCGUAAAGCGCACGUAGGCGGAAGGUUAAGUGCGGUCUGAAAGCCCCCGGCUCAACCGGGGAGGGUGGCUGCAAACUGGCCUUCUGGAGGGCGCGAGGGGAGAGCGGAAUUCCUGGUGUAGCGGUGAAAUGCGUAGAGAUCAGGAGGAACACCCGUGGCGAAGGCGGCUCUCUGGCGCGACCCUGACGCUGAGGUGCGAAAGCGUGGGGAGCGAACGGG